rnacentral:rRNA from 1 species
GAUGAACGCUGGCGGCGUGCCUAAUACAUGCAAGUCGAGCGAACAGACGAGGAGCUUGCUCCUCUGACGUUAGCGGCGGACGGGUGAGUAACACGUGGAUAACCUACCUAUAAGACUGGGAUAACUUCGGGAAACCGGAGCUAAUACCGGAUAACAUGUUGAACCGCAUGGUUUAACAGUGAAAGACGGUCUUGCUGUCACUUAUAGAUGGAUCCGCGCCGCAUUAGCUAGUUGGUAAGGUAACGGCUUACCAAGGCAACGAUGCGUAGCCGACCUGAGAGGGUGAUCGGCCACACUGGAACUGAGACACGGUCCAGACUCCUACGGGAGGCAGCAGUAGGGAAUCUUCCGCAAUGGGCGAAAGCCUGACGGAGCAACGCCGCGUGAGUGAAGAAGGUCUUCGGAUCGUAAAACUCUGUUAUUAGGGAAGAACAAAUGUGUAAGUAACUAUGCACGUCUGGACGGUACCUAAUCAGAAAGCCACGGCUAACUACGU